AUUGAACGCUGGCGGCAGGCCUAACACAUGCAAGUCGAGCGGCAGCGGGAAAGUAGCUUGCUACUUUUGCCGGCGAGCGGCGGACGGGUGAGUAAUGCCUGGGGAUCUGCCCAGUCGAGGGGGAUAACUACUGGAAACGGUAGCUAAUACCGCAUACGCCCUACGGGGGAAAGCAGGGGCCCUUCGGGCCUUGCGCGCUGGGAUGAACCCAGGUGGGAUUAGCUAGUUGGUGAGGUAAUGGCUCACCAAGGCGACGAUCCCUAGCUGGUCUGGGAGGAUGAUCAGCCACACUGGAACUGAGACACGGUCCAGACCCCUACGGGAGGCAGCAGUGGGGAAUAUUGCACAAUGGGGGAAACCCUGAUGCAGCCAUGCCGCGUGUGUGAAGAAGGCCUUCGGGUUGUAAAGCACUUUCAGCGAGGAGGAAAGGUUGGUAGCUAAUAACUGCCAGCUGUGACGUUACUCGCAGAAGAAGCACCGGCUAACUCCGUGCCAGCCGCCGCGGUAACAC
rnacentral:rRNA from 1 species